rnacentral:hammerhead_ribozyme from 1 species
GCGUUACUGAAGAGUCCCAUAAUAAGACGAAACGGCCGUUCAGUGC